GGCCAGGGAAGGCCUGCCCUAGUUUCACCCACCCCAUCCAUCUCCCUGGGCACACCUGCUCCUGCCAUCGGCACUCCUACUAUCAUGGCUGCAUCUGGGGUUUGGAGUUCACAGAAACCUCUUAAAAAGGCACCCAAUUGCUCAACUUUGCUAAGCAGAUGAAGAGUGAAAUAAAUGUUGCUUCACCAGCUGGUUGUUAUAAAGGCCAGCAUCACAUCAGUGGAGACAGUCCAGCCUCCCAGCCAGCCCUAAAGACACAGGCACCAGGAAAGGACCAGGCUCUCCAAGCCCCGGCCAGGCAACUUUGGCCCCAGUGGGCUGGAUGGUGGGAUGCAAUGAACCAUCCAACUUGGUGACUAAGGCUCUUUCUAACCAUGGAGUGUGGACAAAGGGAAAGUCUGUCAUCAGCAGACAAAGGGCUGGAAACCAAAUGAAAAUGCAGCAUCUCCAGGCAAUUUCCUUAAAAUGGAUCAACUUGAAACAUUCUCUAUCACAGGACCAGUAGACAGGAGAGGAGCCAAAGAAGGAAGGACUGUGCGUGUCGGAGCAGACAAAGAAUUAAUAAAAGGGUCACUGAACCUGCUCUGAAUCUCAGAUGCAUCCUUCGUGAAGUGAAAAAAGAUUCCCCUGAGCUGCUAAGAGCAAGGAAACACAAUCCGGGCUGAGCUGGAAACUCUAGAUCUGCUACAACCUGGUUAAUUGCUACUGGGCAGAGAGGCAAAGAAUAGAUAAAAAUUUGCAGCUGUAAAAAAAAAAAAAGAAAUCUGAAAGGGAUAGAGCAGCUUAGUAAAAAGAAAGCUGGAAUCUGAAGCCACCUCCAUUCAUUCAUGGAACACCUAUGAGGCGCCUAUUCCCAUAGUGUCACAAGCACUGACUGUCGUAGGUCCAGGGAGACACAGGUCCCUCAAAGAGCUUACUCCUAGAGUAGCAGGUUUAUAUUUGUAAUUAUAAACAAAUAACUACAGUAAAAUGUGGCAAGUGGCAAGAAAGAGAAAGGCACAAA
rnacentral:lncRNA from 10 species